UACGUAGGGUGCAAGCGUUAAUCGGAAUUACUGGGGGUAAAGCGUGCGCAGGCGGUUGUGCAAGACAGAUGUGAAAUCCCCGGGCUUAACCUGGGAAUGGCAUUUGUGACUGCACGGCUAGAGUGUGUCAGGGGGGGGUAGAAUUCCACGUGUAGCAGUGAAAUGCGUAGAUAUGUGGAGGAAUACCGAUGGCGAAGGCAGCCCCCUGGGAUAACACUGACGCUCAUGCACGAAAGCGUGGGGAGCAAACAGG
rnacentral:rRNA from 1 species